UGCUCUCCUGCUGCGUCAGGAGCAGGAAGCCCAGGCUCAAAUUUGUAAAUAAACAACCUCUUGCUUUUGCAUCGGACUUGGUCUCAGCGUGAUUUAUGUGGGGGAUCCUGCGAGUUGGGCACAACAUUUGGGAAAACCCCCCAUAAUCACCGAGUACCUGCUCCGGAGGUUCUUUUCACCAUUGAGGAACGGAACCACAUCUUGGCUGAGGCCAGGAAGGCUGCCGAGGACGCAGACGGAAGCCCCACCACCAACCAGGCUCUCAUCCAUGCCGCUUUUCCUCUUACCCACCCCAAUUGGGACUUUAAUACGGGAACAGGUCAGCAUGUAGAUGACAUUCUGAUCGCAGCAGAGACAUAAGCAGAAUGCCACCAAGGCACCCAGGACUUGCUGAAUGCACUAGGAGCUCUGGGGUACCGGGCCUCUGCCAAGAAGGCUUAGAUUUGUCAACAAACUGUGAGUUAUCUGGGGUAUAUCCUUAAAGAUGGGCAGCGGUGGCUGUCCCAGGCAAGAAAAGAAACAGUUCUGAAAAUCCUUCCCCCCACCCCCACCACCACACAGCGAGGAGUGUGGGAGUUCCUUGGGUCAGCUGGGUUCUGCCGUCUGUGGAUUCCGGGGUUCACGGAGAUAGCAAAGCCCCUCUAUGGGGCCACCCAGGACAGCCUGCCUUUCCAGUGGAGCGCAGAAUAAGAAAGAGCCUUACAGGCCCUGAAACGAGCCUUGUUCUCGGCCCCGGCCCUAGGACUCCCAGAUAUUACCAAGCCCUUUCAUCUGUAUGUAGAUGAGCACAAAGGCAUAGCAAGAGGGGUGCUUGCUCAAUCACUUGGUCCCUGGACCCGGCUGGUCGCCUACCUGUCAAAGAAACUAAACCCUGUAGCGGCAGGCUGGCCCCCAUGCCUAUGCAUCAUUGCAGCUACUGUAUUGCUGGUUAAAGAUGCAGAUAAAUUGACUUUAGGGCAGGAGCUGUUGAUCACGACCCCUCACGCCAUUGAGGGAGUCCUCAAACAGCCACUGGAUUGGUGGGCUAGCAAUGCCCGACUCACCCACUACCAGGGCCUUCUGCUGAACCCACCACGAAUCCGAUUCCUGCCAAAGAUCUCUCUCAAUCCGGUGACCCUACUGCCGGAUCCAGACCUAGACACCCCUCUCCAUGACUGUGUUGACAUCCUAGCCCAGGUUCACAGCAUAUGCCAGGACCUUACGUACCAGCCCCUCCCUGACGCGGAGGCCACCUGGUACACAGAUGGGAGCAGCUUCAUACAAGACGGAUCAGGUACGCAGGGGCGGCAGUGGUGUCUGAAACUGAGACCGUAUGGGCAGAGCCCCUCCCAGCUGGGACGUCAGCUCAAAAGGCUGAGCUCAUAGCUCUAACAUGAGCCAUGACCCUGGGGAAAGGCCUAAAACUUAAUAUUUACACCGAUAGCUGAUAUGCCUUCGCCACUGCCCACAUACAUGGGGCAAUUUACCAGGAGAGAGGACUUCUUAAGGCGGAGGGAAAGACUAUCAAAAAUAAAAAUGAAAUACUCGACCUCCUAAAGGCCUUAUGGCUUCCCUAGAAACUAGCCAUCAUUCAUUGCCCUGGCCAUCAGUGGGGCAACUCCCCUGUAGCCAGAGGCAACUGGAAAGCUGACCAGGUCGCCAGGACUAUAGCCGCCUCGGCUAUCCAAGAGCUUCCUAUUACUACGUUGCCAGACCCUGGACCCCCAACACUUCCACAAUCCCCGGAGUAUACUCCAGAGGACCUAAAAUGGAUAGAGUAGAUCCCAGAAGCCCACUCCCCCGAGAAGUACAACAGAUGGUACAUUACCUGUGAUGGCAAAGUGCUUGUGUCAGCAAAACUGGGACAGGAAAUCUUCCAUAGGAUCCAUUCAUCCACCCACCUAGGGUCAUGCAAGAUGAAGGACUUGCUGCGCCACGCCAAAAUCAAGAUGCAAAACCUGAAUACUAAAAUCGAUGAAAUCAUAGCUUCAUGCAAAGUAUGUAUUGUUACUAACAGUGUAUGUAGCUCCCACAAUCCAGGGUCCAGAGAGCGUGGGAUGGAGCCAGGUAUGUACUGGGAAGUGGACUUUACUGAAGUUAAGCCAGGUAAAUAUGGAUAUAAAUAUCUCCUUGUUUUCAUAGAUACAUUCUCAGGAUGGGUAGAAGCAUUUCCAAUCAGAAAUUAAACUGCGCAGGUAGUAGCAAAGAAAAUACUAGAAGGUAUAAUGCCUAGGCAUGGAUUCCCUAACCAGGUAGGAUCAGAUAAUGGCCCAGCUUUUACUUCUCAGGUAGUGCAGAGUCUAGCAGAAGACUUGGGGACUAAUUAGAAAUUGUAUUGUGCCUAUCGACCCCAAAGUUCAGGGCAGGUAGAGCAGAUGAACCGCACCCUAAAACAGACCAUGACUAAAUUAAUCAUGGAGACUGGCGGUGACUGAUGUCUCUCCUCCCCUUGGCCCUGUACAGGGUGCGAAACUCACCCUACCUUUUAGGAAAAACUCCCUAUGAAAUUCUCUUUGGAAGGCAACCUCCUAUAGUCCCUAAGUUGCUUUACAAUGCCCUCACUUCAAAGGGCCCGGAUCUUAAAGCUUGGAAAGAUUAUGAGUAACUUUACAUUUCUAUCAAAAGGCACAAUGAGCUAAUUGGGAGAGACUUAUAGCCCUCUACAACUCAGGACCUGUUCCUGAACCACAUGCUUUCCAGCCUGGAAACUGGGUGUACGUGAAACGUCACCGACAAGAGACGCUGGAGCCCUGGUGGAAGGGCCCAUACACCGUGGUCCUCGUUAAUCCCACCGCACUCACGGUUGACGGCAUCACCUCCUGGAUACAUCACAUGCACAUUCACCUAGCCGACCUGUUUGCCAUCAAAGAAGACUCCACCCCCCCAGUGGAAAAUCCGAUGGGACCCUGAUAACCCACUGAAGCUCAAACUGCAGAAAUGCCAGGAUCCCUGAUGCCACGUAUGUGUACCACUUACUGAAUUACUCUGCCUUGCUGAUUAUACCCCUCACAGCUAACCCCCAUCACCCCGUUAAAAUAACGUGGCUAGUCACUGAUGCUAGCACAGGGAUGGUGCUCAACCAGACCUCUGGAGUUCACCCUAAGGGUACUUGGU